rnacentral:rRNA from 1 species
GCCCUAAACGAUGAAUGCUUGGUGUGGUGGGUAUCGAUCCCUGCCGUGCCCGAAGCUAACGCAUUAAGCAUUCCGCCUGGGGAGUACGGUCGNCAAGGCUGAAACUCAAAGGAAUUGACCGGGGGCCCGCACAAGCGGUGGAGCAUGUGGUUCAAUUCGACGCAACGCGAAGAACCUUACCCAGGCUUGAACUGCGAGCGACAUCCUACGAAAGUAGGCUUCCGNCAAGGACGCUCGUAGAGGUGCUGCAUGGCUGUCGUCAGCUCGUGUCGUGAGAUGUUGGGUUAAGUCCCGCAACGAGCGCAACCCUUGUCUUCUGUUGCCAUCGGGUUAUGCCGGGCACUCUGAAGAGACUGCCGGUGACAAACCGGAGGAAGGUGGGGAUGACGUCAAGUCAGCAUGGCCUUUAUGUCUGGGGCCACACACGUGCUACAAUGGCCGGUACAAACCGUCGCAAACUCGCGAGGGUGAGCUAAUCGGAGAAAGCCGGUCUCAGUUCGGAUUGUAGGCUGCAACUCGCCUGCAUGAAGUUGGAAUCGCUAGUAAUCGCGGAUCAGCACGCCGCGGUGAAUACGUUCCCGGGCCUUGUACACACCGCCCGUCACAUCACGAAAGCCGGCUGUACUAGAAGUCGCUGCGCUAACCCGCCAAGGGGGGCAAGCGCCUAAGGUAUGGUCGGUGAUUGGGGUGAAGUCGUAANCAAGGUACC